rnacentral:tRNA from 1 species
GCGUAUUGAACUGAAACCUGUCGCAGGACAAUUAUCAUGACAACGCAAUCCAGUCCCGUUAUUACGGACAUGAA